rfam:Astyanax mexicanus chromosome 23, whole genome shotgun sequence.
GUACUUAAUUAUUGUAAGUCGCUUUGGACAAAAGCGUCUGCCAAAUGAAAUGUA